rnacentral:pre_miRNA from 1 species
AGUGGGAUAGCUGGGUCAAAUGGUAGUUCCAUUUCAAGUUUUCCGAGGAAUUUCCAUAGUGCUUUCCAGAGUGGUUGCACUAUUUUGCAGUCUCACCAGCAAU